GUGAAUCAUCGAAUCUUUGAACGCACCUUGCGCCCCUUGGUAUUCCGAGGGGCAUGCCUGUUUGAGUGUCAUUAAAUUCUCAACCUUACUAGCUUUUAUGAGCAAUGUAAUGGCUUGGAUGUGGGGGUCUUUUUUUUGCUGGCUUCGAAAGAAAUCAGCUCCCCUAAAAUGUAUUAGCUGGUGCCCCCGUGUGGACUAUCUACUGGUGUGAUAAUUAUCUAUGCCGUUAGAUGUCUGCUUUAAAUAGGGAUGUGCUGCUUCUAAUUGUCCACUUAGGACACUUAUUGACUAUUUGACCUC
rnacentral:misc_RNA from 1 species